rnacentral:rRNA from 1 species
GACGAACGCUGGCGGCGUGCUUAACACAUGCAAGUCGAACGAUGAAGCCGGGGCUUGCUCUGGUGAAUUAGUGGCGAACGGGUGAGUAACACGUGAGUAACCUGCCCUUGACUCUGGGAUAACUGCUAGAAAUGGUAGCUAAUACCGGAUACGACCCUCGGCGGCAUCGCCAGGGGGUGGAAAGAAUUUCGGUCAAGGAUGGACUCGCGGCCUAUCAGCUAGUUGGUGAGGUAACGGCUCACCAAGGCGACGACGGGUAGCCGGCCUGAGAGGGUGACCGGCCACACUGGGACCGAGACACGGCCCAGACUCCUACGGGAGGCAGCAGUGGGGAAUAUUGCACAAUGGGCGCAAGCCUGAUGCAGCAACGCCGCGUGAGGGAUGACGGCCUUCGGGUUGUAAACCUCUUUUAGUAGGGAAGAAGCGAAAGUGACGGUACCUGCAGAAAAAGCACCGGCUAACUACGUGCCAGCCGCCGCCGUAA